AUUGAACGCUGGCGGCAUGCCUUACACACGCAAGUCGAACGGCAGCACGGGGCAACCUGGUGGCGAGUGGCGAACGGGUGAGUAAUGCAUCGGAACGUACCUUUCAGUGGGGGAUAACGUAGCGAAAGUUACGCUAAUACCGCAUAUUCUGUGAGCAGGAAAGCAGGGGAUCGCAAGACCUUGCGCUGAUUGAGCGGCCGAUGUCAGAUUAGCUAGUUGGUGAGGUAAAGGCUCACCAAGGCGACGAUCUGUAGCGGGUCUGAGAGGAUGAUCCGCCACACUGGAACUGAGACACGGUCCAGACUCCUACGGGAGGCAGCAGUGGGGAAUUUUGGACAAUGGGGGCAACCCUGAUCCAGCCAUGCCGCGUGAGUGAAGAAGGCCUUCGGGUUGUAAGGCUCUUUUGGCCGGGAAGAAAUCGCACGGGCUAAUACCCUGUGUGGAUGACGGUACCGGAAUAAGAAGCACCGGCUAACUACGUGCCAGCAGCCGCAGUAAAAC
rnacentral:rRNA from 1 species